UACGUAGGCAGCAAGCGUUGUUCGGAUUUACUGGGCGUAAAGGGCGCGCAGGCGGCGCAUUUUGUCAGGCGUGAAAGCCCCGGGCUUAACCUGGGAACUGCGUUUGAUACGGAUGGGCUAGAGUUCGGGAGAGGAGAGUGGAAUUCCCAGUGUAGAGGUGAAAUUCGUAGAUAUUGGGAAGAACACCGGUGGCGAAGGCGGCUCUCUGGACCGAGACUGACGCUGAGGCGCGAAAGCGUGGGGAGCAAACAGG
rnacentral:rRNA from 1 species